AACGCGAAGAACCUUACCUGGGCUUGAACUACUCGUGGUAGUUCGCUGGAAACAGUGGACGACCCGCAAGGGAGCGAGCAGAGGUGCUGCAUGGUUGUCGUCAGCUCGUGUCGUGAGAUGUUGGGUUAAGUCCCGCAACGAGCGCAACCCCUACUCGAUGUUGCCACUCCCGCAAGGGAAGCACUCUUCGAGAACUGCCUUCGAUAAGAAGGAGGAAGGUGGGGACGACGUCAAAUCCUCAUGGCCCUUAUGUCCAGGGCUACACACGUGUUACAAUGGCCGGUACAAUGGGAAGCAAUACCGUAAGGUGGAGCCAAACCCACAAAGCCGGCCCCAGUUCAGAUUGUGGGCUGCAACUCGCCCACAUGAAGGCGGAAUCGCUAGUAAUCGCUGAUCAGCAGGCAGCGGUGAAUACGUUCCCGGGCCUUGUACACACCGCUGUA
rnacentral:rRNA from 1 species